AAAAACAUCGCCUCCUGCUAACCCUUCAACGUAUAGGAGGUCUUACCUGCCCAGUGACAUUCGUGUUAAACGGCCGCGGUAUUUUGACCGUGCUAAGGUAGCGCAAUCACUUGUUUUUUAAAUGAAGACCUGUAUGAAUGGUGAAACGAGGGCUUAACUGUCUCCCCCUCCCAGUCAAUGAAACUGAUCUGUUCGUGCAGAAGCGAACAUAUACCUACAAGACGAGAAGACCCUUUGGAGCUUUAGACAAAGGCCAACUAUUCCCAACCCCUACAUUAAAUAGGACAAAACGAAAUACCACCUGACCAAAGUCUUCGGUUGGGGCGACCAUGGGGAAAAACAAAACCCCCACGUGGAAUAGACCAUUCUCUUUAUCCGAGAGAAAUAUCUCUAAGUCACAGAACAUCUGACCAUAAUGAUCCGACCAAUCGGCCGAUUAACAAACCAAGUUACCCUAGGGAUAACAGCGCAAUCCCCUUCAAGAGUCCUUAUCGACAAGGGGGUUUACGACCUCGAUGUUGGAUCAGGACAUCCUAAUGGCGCAGCCGCUAUUAAGGGUUCGUUUGUUCAACGAUUAAAGUCCUACGUGAUCUGAG
rnacentral:rRNA from 1 species